GGGGACGUUACGGAUUCGACAGGGGUAGUUCGAGCUUAGGUUGCGAGUCGAGGGGAUCGGCCUCGUUAAAACGUCAAAGCCUAUAACUGGCAAAACAAACAACAACUUAGCUUUCGCUGCUUAAUAGCGCGUAGCUGUUCCUCCCUCCAUCGUCCAUGUGGUAGGGUAAGGGACUCACUCUAAGUGGACUACGCCGGAUCCCACCGUCUGAGGGUGAAGGAAGAGAACAACCAGACUAGCUGACCGGGCGCCUGUCGAUAGGCAGAUGGCUCAGCGAAAUACGAAUAUGUCGACUACACUCGUAGACGCUUAAGUGGCGAUAUCUUUGGACGAGGGUUCGACUCCCUCCGUCUCCACCA
rnacentral:tmRNA from 1 species